rnacentral:tRNA from 1 species
CGCUCAAUAAUUCAGUCGGUAGAAAGCGGCCUGAGUGAUCGUAUGCGUUGGUUCGAGUCCAACUUGAGCGA